rnacentral:lncRNA from 1 species
UGUAAAGACAGUCACUGUAUUUCUCAGCCCCGUUCCAAAAUAUUAACUGGGGAGCUGCUCGCUUCUACUCGUGCCAAACUUCUGGCAGAAAUUUAUGAAAGAUGCCCAGGAAAAGAGAAAAACGUAGUAGUGGUGGUAAUUUGGAAUACUGACCAUAGGUGUAAACUUUAGAAAAGGCCCCUUUUCUGAAACAGCCAUCUGGAAUGGACCAACAGCUCCCUCUGCCCCCUCCACGGGGGAAGUGCUCAUGACCGCGGCACUGUGCGGAUGCGGGGGCUGGGCUGUGCAGACAUCUGCACGCUUCCUUGAUCUGACAGGGAGUUCCAGAAAGGCUGUGCCAGUACAGACCGGGCAGAACCCGGGGGAAGCCCCCAUCAGCGCUGCCCAGGUGAGACCUGUCGCAAGCUUCUCUUCAUUAGCCCACUGAUGACUGGCCGGAGGUCACAAUGAAAGGGAGGGUAUUUUUUAUGACAUUAUUAGUGAGAGAAGUAUUAAAGGUGACUCCAUUUGUCAUGCCUUAUUAGCAAAAGCAGGGGAAAAUAUUCAAAUAGCAAUACAUUCAACCUCCCCGCCAAAUCCUGCCAAGUCGCUUUGACUUUCCCACGUUCCCCGCCACACCAGCUCCUUCCAGUUUGUGGGAAGCUGUGGGAAGAUUUGCCCGUGGAGGCCAGGAAGAAACAGGGUCACUUCAUGGUGGUGUGGCCUGAGAGCUUAAUGUUUUGGAUGCUUUCUUGAAUUCCCAAUAUUUAUCUCUCAUGAAUACACCUACACCCGGGUGAUCAAAUGUGUCCCUCCACCCCCGGUGGCCUGGGGUGCUGGCAUGGAAAAUGCUAGUUUUAAGGAGCAAACAGAAGGACUGAGAAACAGCAUAAGAGCUUCGCGUGCGUGUCGACACGCAGGUUUACAAAAGACCUUUCAUUUUGUUUGUUAAAACUCCGGAAUACGUGCCCCCAGACACGUACAUCUCAAACAUGCCAAUAAAUUUAUUUACCUUUCCUUGUCAUGAUUACCCCAAAAUGAAAAUAUAUACGUAUGCUAAUUAAUUACAUGCGACCUAAUUUAGAUAUUCCCAUCCUGCGGCCUUAGAAAAACGAUUAAAUGUGAUCAUGACUAGUUAAAACCACACUUCUCACCUGAAAUCCUCUGCCUGAGAUACAGCAAACUACUAAUUUGCCUCAGUAGGGCUUAGCUUUCACUCAGAGCCAUCUUCCUGGUCCAGAGGUGGCAUUCACUCAUCCACUCAUCCAUCCAUCCAUGUAUUUAAGAUCAUUGAAGACUUCCUAAGGUCACGGGCAGGGAGCAGAGCACAUGGAGACAGGCCCAUUUGCCCAGGGUGCCUGCAAUGGAGAAGAGGGCUGGCGAGAUCUAUCACUGACACCAGAAGAGACAGAGGUGUAGACGUUAGCAGGAAAUGCACCCCAGAGGGGUGGCUGUAUUUCCCUGUACAAGCAGCCAUGGCCUUGAAUAUAUAUAUAUAUAUAUACAUAUAUAUAUAUAUGUCUAAAACUAUUAACAGUCUAACAUCCUCAUGUGCCUUAGCGGGCAUUGGCUUCUGCACACAGGACACACAGCUAUUGCCUUAAAUUAAAACAAAAUCCUCCCUCGAAUAAUACGUCUCUCUCGUUUCCUCCUCGCUGUAUACACGCACAGAUGCAUACUCAAUGUGAUACAGUCAUUUAUCAAAUUAAAACAAAAAACGAAUUAUUUAGGAUCCGUGCAGUACUAACAAAGACACAGCCUUGUAAAAAAUAGGAAUUUAUUAGCACCCCAUCCUCGGCACGUACAUUGAUAGGAAAUAUAAUUAAAUCAGCAUUAUUUUUUACCACUCACUCAGCAUAAAUUGUCGCUGGCUUUGCAAGACGGAAACAAUGCAUUGUUUGUGCUCGUGAUGACAAUAGUCUUUGUGGCUGAAAUCCUUCUUCUUCUUUUUUUUUUUUUCCCCUCACAUAUAAGGGAUCUCCGUACCCAAACUCUGGCAAACGCAGGGAGAAUGUUGAAUAAUAGCUCCCCCCCCCCAACAUCCCAUCCAGAAAUUCUCAUCCGGCCAAUUGCCAGAGCAGUGUGUAUGGGAAACAUCCAUGAACCGAGAGCUGAUGAAGCAUGGCUCUUAGAAGUCACUAAUUAUUUGAUUUCUAGGAUUCACACCAGAUAAAUCCCACUCACUGAGAGGCGAAAGACACGAUAUGCUGGUGCUUCCAGGCUUUGAACGUACGCUGUCAGCUUGGGCAGCUAGAGCAAAAUGCUAUGAACUAGGGAGCCUGAACAACAGAAAUGUAUCUCUCAGAGUUCUGGAGACUAGGAACACCGAGGUGCUGACAGUUUGGGCACUUUUGGCUUGUAGAUGCUGCCUCCUCUCUGUGUGCUGACAUGGCCUUUCCUUGGUGAGUGCUCCUGGAAAGACACCUCCCUCUCUCUUUCCUCUUUUCAAGGAACUAGUCAUAGGGGCCCCGCCUUGGUCACCUAAUCUAAACCUAAUCACCUCCAAAGACGUCCCUUCAAAACCAUCACAGUGGAGCCUAGAGCGUCAACGUAUGAAUUUUAGGAGAACCUAAAUACGCAGCCCAUAGUAGGUACUGUACUCCUUUUCGACUAAUAUGACCUCUGAAGCUCUUCUCUUCUGGAACCACAGAUUAUACCAAAGUGGUUCCGCUUAGUUUUGAAAGACCGGAAUAAAACAACGUAACGCAACACCUCCCAAAAUGAAGUAAAUAAAACAGAACAAACCAGACCGAUCUUAAAUGGCCCCCAUGAUCUCCACCCGCACCCACCCAAGGAGCCCGUCUACCAAGCCCGUCUACAAGGGCACACCCAGCCAUUUGCCCAAGUAAUGCUACCGGCCCAAACCAUCCACUUAACUUCUGCGGUGACUUUUUCCAGGAUCACUUCUCACAAAUUCUCCUCUGCGUUCCCACAGCCGCUGCCCUGCAUGGUGUUCUUGGAUCCUCAUCUCUACACCAGAUGAUCUGGAGGUGUCACUUCCGGUUACAGACGUCAACAAGCUCAUGUCCCCUCUUCUCUUAUUUUUUUCCUCUUAUAUUACACAGGAGUUAAUGUCGGUGAGAAACAGAAUUCUGAGUGACAGUAUGAGGAACAAGGGCAGAAGCUGUGAAAAAGGCAGUGCUGGUGUGGCAGAGACGUCCCUUGCAUGCGGAGGUGUCCCCGGGGCCCAGGUCCGGUGGGGAGACUAGCAGUGACACGGGGGUGUUGACUUGAAUAUAUGGGCGCUCCCUGGCUUCUCGCUGCAGGUCUGUGACCAGCAGGGCUCUGAAGGAGAAAGUGGGUGACUGAGAGACGUCUCUGCCCGCAACCCCCUUCUCUACCUUCUACCCAAGGAGAGAAGGAGGGAAGGAAGAAGGAAGACCUCUGUGAAACUCUGUGGCUCAGAUGCCCUCGGACAAAUGGGAACUGACGGGGGGUUGUCUCGCUGUGUUAUGGGCACACAAACUUCUAGUUUAGUGGAGAGGACUUUUGCCUGUGCACCUUUGUCAUUGCAAAAAACCUCAAAACCGAGCACAUUUGAAGAAAGCAGCAGUCCGUUAAACCAGAGUCUUCGCACACGUGGGGAGAUUUCCCCCACCCUUGAAGGGCACACGUUGCUAGUGUAAGUUUGGUCCACGAGCUUCUGCACCAGGAGCCUCUCCACGCGACGCCCAUCGUGAGCGGACCCCUGCAGGUGCAACCCACACCUGUUGCUAACAGUGGGCACUUCCUUACACGUGCAAAGGUUCCAGAAACAUUUCCCGGCUGGCUCAGUGUCAAUGGAUGAGUUGGUAUAAAAGUCUAUGGGCACCACGCAAUACAAAGUACUUAUUGCAAAAACCUCCGUGCUCACACCUUUCCUGUUGUUUCUCAAAGACCGUCCCCGUCUCCUGGCGGGCCGGUAGCAGUUGGGGUUAGUCUGUGGACACGCUGAGGACAGCUCAUCUGGCCACGUGGCUGGCGGUGGCUGGAAAUGGCACUCACAGCAGGCACAGUAUCCUCUAGAACUCGGGUCUCGCUUCGCUCCUGAAUCACCUUCGUGAAGCAAGGCCCAUGAGACAAUAUCUGGGAUAAAGUCACCAGAUUUUCUUAUGCAUAAUCCAGACACAUUAUCAAAGGACUCGUUCCCUACAUAUUAAGGCAGCAAAUCUGGGGCACCUGGGUGGCUCAGGUGGUUAAGCAUCUGACUUCGGCUCAGGUCAUGAUCUCAUAGUUCCUGAGUCCGAGCCCCGAGUCAGGCUCUGGGCUGACAGCUCGGAGCCUGGAGCCUGCUUCGGAUUUUGUGUCUCCCUCUCUCUCUGCCCCUCACCCCACUUGUGCUCUGUUUCUCUUUGUCCCUCUCUCUGUCUCUCAAAAGCAAACAAACAUAAUUUUUUUUUUUUUUUUUUGCAGAAGGGAAGAUAUGACCCCGUUAGUCUGAGACUAGACAUACCUAUGUGGCCGAGAUGAAACUCCUGUCGCUUCACAUGCAGAGGGAAAUGCGGAGCUGAUCUGGGGGACGGAGGGUGAGGGAGGUGGCAACGAAGCAUGACGUCCGAUCAAGUUACUGUGGAUAGUUUCCUCUGGUAAAGUGCCCAGGAUCCAAACACACACCUGGCCAGAACCACUGUUCCUAAAGGCAGGCGGGCCUUCCCGGCGCCGUGAGCAAAAACAGAGCCCUGGAGGAGGAAGCGAGGCCAGGCUCCAGUCCCAGGCCACGCUGUAUCCAGCGAAGAACAAGGAGAACAGGAGGAGAAGGAAGAAAAGGAAGGGAGGGAGGAGAAGAGGAGACACAUGUAGAAAUUAGAGUAGAAGGUGCCUAAAUAAAGAAAAAACUUUAAUCGCACACAGUGUGAUUCAAUCUUUGUGAAAUCAAAGAAUGGGCGAGAUUAAGGUAUGCUAGUAAAAUUCAGGAGAGUGAUACCGGAAGGGAGAGUUGACUGGAAAGGGCACCAGGGAACGUUCUGGGUGAUGCAGCCGUCGUAUGUCCUAUGCUGAUGACGAUUACUCCACCGUGUGCAAUUGUCAAAGCUCAUUGACCCGAACCCCGAAGAUCUGUGUAUUUGGCUACAUGUAAUGUGUGCCUCGACGAUAAUACUGAAACCAGUACCAAGUAUCUGGUACUUGGUAAUGUCGACAUUUUUGAACAGGAUAGUCUCAGCGCUUCAGAAAUCUGAUCUCGGCAGGCGGCGGCCAGGCUUCCAUUUUCGGGUUUCCUGAGCCCCCUCUUGCGCCCGUGACACCACGGACUUAUGUGUAAAUAAAUAAUAGUGCAAGCAGCGCACUGGAACACUCGCUUCACCUGGGAAGCGCAAGGUUAUUUUUGUAGCUGUGUCCUGUCUUCCCGUGUGGAGGGUGAUUUAUGGUUUUCCGCCACGCUCUAUCAUCAUCGGGCCCACCUUUGUUUCCAUCAUAGUUAAUUAAAGGGAAGGUCAUUGUCACCUUAUGUUUUAAACCUUCUUAACAUAAUAUAUCACCCUUGGUACACUUUAAUAAGGGGAUUUGUGAAGGAAUGGUGUAAUAGGAAAAAAGUUUACGGCAUAAUCCAUCCUGUUCACAAUUACACUUUAGCUAUUGCACAUAAUGAAAGUUAAUAAGUAGACAAAACGAAGGGUCUGUCUUGGGAUUCAUUCAAGUGUUGAUUAAUUGGCUGAGUGAUAUAGUGGAAAAGAAGAUACCUCGCUUUUCUAAACUGCAGGCAAACGUGGCCAAAACGCACUCCAUUUAAAGGACAAUCUCUCCUUUCCUUUUUCCUUGCAAAUUGUCACCCCCAAACAAUGUGAAAUUAAUUAAACAUCUGUUUAUUGAAUGCCUUCCACGUGCCAGGCGUAGUAGGAAACCUGGAACAUGAAGGGGUGAAGUCAGAUACCGGCCCUUUCCCCGAGGGGGCCAGAGACUAGUGUUGGUUCAGAUACAAAGGAAGGACAAAUUAUUUAUUCUAAAUGGUUACUCCUGGGGAUACCAGAAUUAGUUAAGAUUCAUAAGAAUGACUGAAAUAAUAUUAAGUACGCCAAGCACAUCUGCCAAGAAAAUGUUAAAUCCUUCUCCGAAGCCAUUUAUUUUAUUUAACAGACACUUAUAAAGUACUUACUAAAAGACAGCCAUUGUUCUAAGUGUUCUCCAAAUAUUAAGUCAUUUAAUACCAACAACAUCCUUAAUGAGGAAGCUACCAUUAUCAUUCUUCUUUUAUAAACGAGAAUAUGGAGGCACAGAGUGAUCAAGGAAUUUACACAAGGCGGUACAGUUCUCCAGAAACUGCGCUCGUAUCCACCAGGCCAAGCUACCUUAAAAUAAGAUCCCUUUGACAGUUUCAAAAAAUAAUGACUUUUUUACGAGAUUUUCAAUGGGAAGGGGUACUUUCGCGCAAAGAUCUUACAGGGUCUGUAUAUUUAACAGUAAUGCCUGGUCUUAUUAAACAACACAACUCACCUAAAGUAAAGAACCUAGUGGCCCAGUCGAAGGAAAUUGCUGACCCAGUUAAAAUUUAGCAGAAUGUG